rnacentral:rRNA from 1 species
GAUGAACGCUGGCGGCGUGCCUAAUACAUGCAAGUAGAACGCUGAAGGAAGGAGCUUGCUCUUUCCGGAUGAGUUGCGAACGGGUGAGUAACGCGUAGGUAACCUGCCUGGUAGCGGGGGAUAACUAUUGGAAACGAUAGCUAAUACCGCAUAACAGUAGAUGUUGCAUGAUAUCUACUUAAGAGGUGCAAUUGCACCACUACCAGAUGGACCUGCGUUGUAUUAGCUAGUUGGUGAGGUAACGGCUCACCAAGGCGACGAUACAUAGCCGACCUGAGAGGGUGAUCGGCCACACUGGGACUGAGACACGGCCCAGACUCCUACGGGAGGCAGCAGUAGGGAAUCUUCGGCAAUGGACGGAAGUCUGACCGAGCAACGCCGCGUGAGUGAAGAAGGUUUUCGGAUCGUAAAGCUCUGUUGUAAGAGAAGAACGAGUGUGAGAGUGGAAAGUUCACACUGUGACGGUAUCUUACCAGAAAGGGACGGCUAACUACGUG